UAACGGAGGGGGGGUAGUGUGCACUGUGCAGUUGACUACGGAGAGAGAGAGAAGGAGGGUGAGAGAGAGAGAGAGAGAGAGAGAGAGAGAGAGAGAGAGAGAGAGAGCAGCCCGCCGGCCCAUUGAGGAAAGAUGGCUACAGUCACUGCAAACGGAGUGCAGCAAGAGAAUGGAUUCAGCACCACGAACAGCGCCGGCAGGAUGAACGGGCUUACCAUCGGCCAGAACACCAUUCCAAUGAAGGACCACGACGCCAUCAAGCUUUUCAUCGGGCAGAUUCCCAGAAACCUGGAGGAAAAGGACCUGAAACCCCUGUUUGAGGAAUUCGGAAAGAUAUACGAACUCACUGUACUGAAAGACAGGUUUACGGGAAUGCAUAAAGGAUGUGCCUUUCUCACAUACUGUGCCAGAGAGUCUGCACUGAAGGCCCAGAGCGCCCUCCAUGAACAGAAGACUCUGCCAGGGAUGAACCGGCCCAUCCAGGUGAAGCCAGCCGACAGCGAAGGACGAGGAGAAGACAGGAAGCUGUUUGUGGGGAUGCUCGGUAAGCAGCAGAGCGAGGACGAUGUUCGGCGGCUGUUUGAGACCUUCGGCCAGAUCGAGGAGUGCACCGUCCUGCGAGGGCCUGAUGGGGCCAGUAAGGGCUGUGCCUUUGUCAAGUUCUCCAGCCACGCAGAAGCGCAGGCCGCCAUCAACAGCUUGCAUGGUGGACAGACUAUGCCUGGUGCCUCGUCCAGCCUGGUGGUCAAAUUUGCAGACACUGAUAAGGAGAGGACCCUGCGCAGGAUGCACCAGAUGGCUGGCCAGCUCGGCAUUUUCAGUCCCAUGACCAUCCAGUUUGGGGCCUAUGGCGCCUACUCUCAUGCUGUAAGUCUCAGCCCGGCGGGGGAGGAGACGCAGAUGAUGCAACAGCAAGCAGCCCUGAUGGCAGCAACACAAGGGUCCUACCUGAACCCCAUGGCAGCCAUCGCUGCCGCACAAAUGCAGCAAAUGGCAGCUUUCAAUGUCAACGGCCUGGUGGCUACUCCCAUGACACCGUCCUCAGUGUGUGCAGCCACAACCCUGAGGUCCUAUAAUGACUCAGUACCUACCUUCGCAGGCACCAGCACACCCCCAGGCAUCUCUGCCACAGCCGUGCCCAGCAUAGCCACUCCCAUUGGGGUCAAUGGAUUCAGUGCCCUCCCGCCUCAAAGCAAUGGGCAGCCCACAUCUGAGCCCAUCUACACCAACGGUAUUCAUCCUUACCCAGCACAGAGUCCAACGGUGACCGACCCUCUCCAACAGGCUUAUGCUGGCGUCCAACACUACGCAGCAGCCUACCCUGCCGCCUAUGCGCCAAUCAGCCAAGCGUUCCCCCAGCAACCAACCAUCAUUCCCCAGCAACAGAGGGAAGGGCCAGAAGGUUGCAACCUGUUUAUUUAUCACCUGCCCCAGGAGUUUGGAGACGCUGAGCUCAUGCAAAUGUUCCUACCCUUUGGCAACGUCAUCUCCGCCAAAGUAUUUGUGGACCGAGCAACCAAUCAGAGCAAAUGUUUUGGCUUUGUGAGUUUUGAUAACCCGUCCAGCGCUCAAGCCGCUAUCCAGGCCAUGAACGGCUUUCAGAUAGGCAUGAAGAGGCUGAAGGUGCAACUAAAGCGGCCAAAGGAUGCCAACCGACCUUACUGACUCGUCUGCUGUCCGUACCCAGUGUGAGGUGGCCUUUCUUCGCUAUAGCCACAUCCCCCCCCACACACACCCGUCACGGGGCCAAGUUCCCACAGCUGAUGAAGGGCCACAACACCUUAUUUCCACAAGUGCAGUAAAAGUACAAAGACUUCUUGCUCUGCUACAUAUCAUGAAGGAAGGGUGGUCCCUUGAUCCUGCUGGAAAGCCGCUGGAAGAUUGGGUGACUGAGAGGAGGAUCCCAGAGUUGUUGUUUUUUUUUUUCUUUUUUGUUUCUUUGUUUAUUUAUUUUACUUUACUUUUUCCUUUCUUCGCAAAUGCCUCUUUUUUCCCUGUUUUGCUUUGGCGUCUGUGGAAGAAGAUUUUUUGCAGAGACCAACUUUUUGCUGCUGUUUUUUAGACAUGAUGGGGGAAAAAAAACAAAAAAAAAAACAAAAACAAACCUUUAUAGACUCAUUAUGCUCAAAGCAUGCAUACUGACACAGGAUAUAGAUAAACACACAUAAACAGAGAAAACAAACCAAACAUACACAUUUAAAGAUGCUACACCUAAAGAGAAAAUGAAAAAAAAAAAAAAAAAAAAAAAACUUUGUACAUAAACACGUGCAAAUGCCAACAACAUAAGUACUGAAGCAAACUCAUGCGUGUGUAGACACACACAGAAAUACACACAAACACACACACCAGCCUGCUGCCAUUUUGGUUUUUGUGCCUACACAGGUGUUGUGCUCUGUGACAGGGCAAGCUCUGGAUCGAAGAGGAAAACGAGAAGACGAGGAGAGAAGAGGAGAAUCCAGGAUAAUUUACAUGCAUCAUUCCUUAGGAAAUAGGGACCAAAGGACUAAAACGCUUUUUAAAAGAAUAUAAAUAUAUAAAUAUAUAAAUAUAUAUUUAAAAACUCAUACCUUGUAGCUGCAAGUAUUACAAUUUACUCGUAGUAAAAAAAAAAAAAAAAUCAUUAAAUCAAUAUCCAGUGGCCUACUGUAAGUACGAAUAAAAGAAAAUGGAAAUAAUGUAUAAAAAAAAAUAAAAUAAAAAAAGACAUGGAAUCGUAGUAUAGGGGCUGAUCUUUUGCUCUGGAUGCUGAUUUAGCACCAGGUUGUAGAAUAGUAAAGUAGAAUAGAAAAAAAAAAGAAAAGUAGAUUUGCUAAUUUUUGCUGUUGUUUAAAAAAAAUACUUGAAGUCGUCAUUGAAAAAAAAAAAAAGGGACAAAAGAGGGGAGAAAGGAAAUUUCAUUCACUCAUCUGACCCCCCUCCCCUGCAACAAGUCUCUUUCGUUUGGAUGUUAAGGUACCAGCCACUGGAUAUCUCGCUCAUCAUGAUGUAUAAGUCACCGCACUCUCUGACAGCUAUGAACAGACUGUUCUGGUAGGAAAAAAAAAAAAGAAAAAAAGAACGAUAAGAGAGGAAAAAAAAAUGAGACUGAACUUAAAACUGAUGUCUGUGCUGGACAGGGUGCAGAUGUUUAAGGCUUCUCGCUAGCCUUUGUGUUCAAGCGACAAUCCACUGUAAAGACCAAGUAAAACGGACAUGGGAUGUCUUCUGUUUUUCUUUUGUUUUUUCUUUUUUUCUUUUCUUGACCUUUUGUAUCGCAACAUGAAGUGUGAAUUAUGAAGCCACAAAUUGUUAAAAGACGGUCACAGGAGCGACGGAGGAGGGACGAAGGAAGGAAGGAAGAGUGAGGUGACAGCUACUGAAACUGCCAGCAGAAUGAACUCGGCUUAGGAACGAAGUGGUCCUCGUUGGUGUCAGAAUUCUGUCAAAAAAACCUAAGCAUGGCCGUUGUAACCAGCCAGGACUUCUAUGAGCGACAUGCCAGGGACGAGUGUGUCCACUGGAGCUGCUGCAAAACUCUAGACAGAGAGAAUUUUCUUCUUCUUGUCUCUUGGCAGAUAAACAUUUCUCCGAAGACAAAUUCAAUUUGCUGAAUUGAUAGCAAAGGAGUGCGGGCUUUUAGAGCUCAUUUAGCUCUGUCAAACGUAAUGUAAAUUCCACUGUUAACAUGUUCCCUGACCUGCUUUCUUCAUAUAUUAUACAUAGAGCCGAUGGGGGAGGGGGAAAAAAAUCUACUGCUUAAAUAGCAUAUAUAUAUAAAUUAAUUCUAACAGCUACUCAUAACCAUCACUCAGCUCGCCUGUAGCUUCUCUGACACUGACGCCAGCCAAGACAGAGUAAAGCACUCCAGCACUGUCAUGUCUUGAUUUAGAGUCCUGUAGCCUUUAUUUUGACUGUUUUACAGCUCUGGAAGCAGCCUCUUCUCUAAAAACCGGAUCAAUACAGUAUGUUUGGAGUGAGUCUAGAGGGAGGAGCGAUGCCAUUUCAGCCACUAUGAGCACUUCCCGAUUUUUCUCUGCCCGAACACCAGCUCACAUCCAUACACUUUCUCUGAGCACCGGCAGCUGGCAGCGAGAGCCAGGGCUCGGCGAGGAGGGAAGGAGGGAGGGAGUGGGGAGAAGGGAGGAAGUCAACAACUCAACAUCCCAUUGAGAUCCUUUAAACCGACGCGUCUAGGAUGGUGGCCAACGAUUUAACUGAUAAAAUUAGAAGCUGCAGUCGAGCUCCUGGCGACAAAUAUUACAGAUCUGUGCUUCAGACGCGGGGGCUGGGUUUUCCGAUCAGUUUUCAAAUAGCGUUUCCUGCGUCCUCGUGUUAGAAAUCUCGCUGCUGGUUUCGAGUAAGACAAGUCCUGCGAAGCCGCUACAACCCCGAGAGCACCACCAGGUCGAAAAGCUGAUUGGAUUUGAAAAGUAUGAAGACAGAGAAGAGGCGGACACAAGCAAAGCCGCACGGAAGUUAAAAUACUUUGGAAGUAGCGCAAAUCUCUGGAACCAAUGACAACAUGAGUUUUAGUUUGAGGUAAAAUUGUCUGAAAACAGAAAUAUGUUUAAAUUCAUAUUGAAUCAGAAUCAAAUUUUCAAUUGGGAAUGGAAUCGUUUCGGGAACGUUAUCCAGCCGUAUUUAAAUGUACUGACAUUAAAAAGUUUAAUGAUGUAGUUAAAUAGCUUCUGCCCCAGUCCAAACUGUUCAUAUUUACCGCUUCAACGUUUUCUUCUCGCCGUAACCUCCCUCUCUUCUCGCUUGAAACAGAAAACCAAAUCAGAACAUGCUCAGAUACACUGAAGGAUGACUCAUAAAGUGUGCCAGCUGUUUCCAGAGUUUAUAAUGUACUGCCUUUGUUGUUUAAAUAAGCUGAAGGUCUUGAUUUCAGUCCUUGGUAUCAGCAUGCCAUGUACCGCCUUCUCUCCCCCCCAGUCCUAAGAGCUGCCAUGCCUUUCCAAACCACGGCGCCACUGAUCGGCGGCCCUCCCUUUGGAACAGCAUUUUUCUGAACCUGGCUAAUGCCUGUGCUCACUACCCUUCAAUUAUCUCCUGCACCAUAUUAGACAUGCUAUUUCACCUUUCCCUCUAAUCACACUGUAAUCAUCAGCCUCUAUACAUUAGCAGCAACCAAGUGAAAAAUCACCGGGAUAAUCACUUGGACCAAAUGACGGGAGAGAUGGUCCCCUGCAUGCACAUGGUUGACAGAAGGAAGAUUAGAGAGAAUUAUGUUUGUGCCUACUCCCUGGCACGGCUGCUGACAGCUGACCUGGCACCAAUAAUACGGCCGAAUUUACCCGAAGAGGCGAUGGAGGAUGUGGAAUGAAUAAACUCCUCCUUAUCAUAGCAAAGUGGUAAUAUUGGAGAUUACAUUGACAUUGCCAAAAACUGAAGGGGAAGGGUGACGGCAAAAGGUUCACUUUGAUUUUUCUUUUCUUUUUUUUCUUUUUUUUUACCAUAAAUGCUGCAGCAAUAGUUGCUUAAAACUGGGUCGAAACCGACGAUUGUGCUGGAAAUCCUGUUGAAGCAGCUGCUGUGUUGUUAUGAUUCUUCAUUCAGCAACAAAAUUGUAUCUCAGCAGUAAACUACAGAGGUCAUCUUUUUUCCUUUUCUUUUCCUUCCCCACAAAAUAACUUGCUCAACACCGACUUGCUGGGACACCUGCAAAGCACAGCCUCGUUCGACGCUAAAAAGAAUAUUUGUGAAGCACAGCAGUUCUUCAAAUUCAAAAACGAUGCCCAUCGAAUGACAGCUUUAAAGAAAUUGCCUUUGUAACACGCAAAGCAGAAAGCAAAAAAAAAAACAACAACAAAAAAAAAAACAGGCCUCCAUCCUCUGCCCUUGAUUUGAAGUACGGUGGCGACGACGCGGUGAAGUAGGUCAAAACAAAGCCAUGUUCUGCAAACCGUUUGUGCUCAUUAUUUAUGUGACGCUGAACUAAUCAAUGGGAGAUCUAAUGUUCCAUGAGCAAUGAAGUUUCCAGGUCUUGUCUUGGCCAUCUGUAGAACACAACCCGCGACAUGAACCUCGCAUUGCUGCUCCGCUGAUCUUCUCUGUCCUGUACCAGAUGUUGUACUAGUUCCCUUUACUAAUGACAGGUUGAGUCCCCGGUGAGCCAAAAACCCUAAGCCCAGUAUCCUGCUGUCUGCUUGGCUAACGGUGCGCCGUUCAUGUAGCAUGGCUGCUAUGCCAAGGCUAAAUUAGGGUAUGAGAAACACUUUUAACAAGGCUGCUCCUAAUACUUUUACACCCCAGGGAGAAGUGACACGCAUUAAAAGCGGAAAUAUCUGUGAAACAGGCAGCAGGGCUACUGAAAAUUAGAAAAAGAAAAAAAAAAGUUUGUUUUUAGAUCUUCUCAUUACCCAUUUAUUUACUAGAGGGGUCUGGCUGCUUUGCCCUUAGUCUGCUGCUCUGGCUUUUAGUCCUGGCUAUGUUUCACCUCUAAGAGCACUGACAAAUGUCAACCCAGCAGGCAGUCACCAAGCUGUUGCCCAACAGGAUGAUUUAAUAUUUACCCCCAAAUUUGCAAAGAGAGAACGUAACUUGGCAUUUCAGCCUGAAGAUGUGUGAAUCUAAUUAAUUGCGAGGAUAUAAUUUAGCCUUGCCAGGAGAAACAAAAAUAUAGACACUUGAAAAAUUAUAUACAGGCCCGAAAGCAUAAAGCAUCUCAUCACUGUCAGUGCUUUGCUGCCUUUGUUUAGCAUCUCACAAUCAGUGGCAAACUGAAAGGAGCAUAAGUAUUUACAACAUUCGCUUCUUGGACAGUGAUGCAUGCAGCCACUCAGAAACUGGGAGGGUAUAUCACAUCUGCUCACCAAGUCUGUCCUCUAGAUGAGCACGUAUCCCAGCCAAUGGCGGGACAGAGGAGAAGGCUGCUGGAGCAUGAAUCUCCAACCCCCUGGGUGCAUAACACUCACCCUAAAAUAGCAGCGAUUGUCAAGGAAAGGAAGUGAAAUGUAAUUGACUGAAAGUGGAAAGAUAAUUAAAGGAACCUGUUGGACAGGAGGGAAGAAAUUAAUGCCUCUCAUUUAAUAGCUGCUUUGGGAGAGCUUUUCCGUCAUCUCACUUUAGCGCAGAAAGGGUUUUGCUGUGGAAAUGGGAUUUUGCAUGAAGGGAGGUGGAAACUGUGGAAAUAGGCACUGGGUGGUGGGGGUGCUGUGUGCUAAACUGAAACUCCACAAAAUCACUCCCAAUACUCAGGGCAUCAGGCACGAUGAUGUCAUGAUUAGUGGAGAGGUUCAGAGCCUUGCCUUACCCCUGAUCCUGAAGGACGUCGAGCAGAUAAACGUGAGGGCAGCAGGAGCCGUGCGGUCGCGUCACAUUGCGCUGAGCCAGCAGAAGGGCUGAUGAACCACCUAAAUCGUGCUUUGGUUUUAUAGUUAUCAGCGUCCGAUGCCAAGAGUAACAAAGUAACAAAAACUGUCCACCCAACAAUGCACAGUGAAGGUGCGCGAUUACGGUCCAACAACAUGGCUGAGAUGUAACAAUGACAAAGACUUUUUUUAUUCCUUAAUGUAAAUAGCCUAUAAAAUACGAAAACAGAGGAUGGUUGUACAGCAACUUGUGUUCAGAAGCCCAACUCUGUGGGACAAUGAUGUCACUAUAAAAUGUAUCCACAGCAGUGCAGGGAUUUAGGAGAGUUUUAGUCCUUUUAAGCCCCUUAGGUUUGGGCUGUGAACAUGCAUCCUACAACCGUAAGCGCCGGACCGAGGCUUAGAGAGCAUUUGACUUAGUGUCAAACCUAAGCCACGGCCCCCGAAGUGAUCCGUUAAUUAAGAUUCUGUGUACACCGACAUGUCAUGAUUUUUCUGACAGAAGAAAGAUCGCCUAUGCGGUAAUUGGAUUAGUCCAAUUGGGGCUGAUGAACAGAUACGGCAGUGACAGUAGAGUUCAUCCAUCUGCAUGCUUUCCGCUCGACAAGUGUGAAAAGGGGAAAAGAAAGCAUCAGCCGCCGCCACGCUUGCUCAGACGCAACGGAAUCAACACUAAGUCGAAUGUUUAGGCUUUUACAGCAUUUAAAGAAUCUGCAGGUAACAGUUUGUUCAACGUGUACAUAAACCACUUUGGAGUCGAAACACUUAACACACACGGCUGAGACUAUACAGUACGUACAUGGUUGGGCUGAGGCUGGAGGAAGGGGACAAACAUAUUGUAGAUCUCAGCAGAAGCGCCUGCCUGCUUGACCCAAUCUGCCUGACCACACAGCUGCAUUACACCUGUACAUACAAUAUAGCUUAUUUUUCAAUUCUGUUGAACAUUCUUUAUAGGCCGUAAAAUAGAUCAUGUUCAAAAAAUUAAAAAAAAAAAAAAAAAUCCUAAUUAAAAAAAAAUAAAAGAAUAGUUAAUAUAUUUGAGCAAAAAUAAGAAAAGGAACUUAUGAAAUAAUUUAUCAAAAACAGAAGAUGAUUUUAUUUCAUGUAUAGUAAAGCACUAAUGUUCAAAAAUGGGAUUUUAUACUCAUGUUGGUAAAUGGUUCUUUAUUUUCUUGCUUAUGUUUUGUUAUCAUCGGCUGAAGCUGGGAUAGACCCAUUGUCACGAGGUUUAUUCGGAUAUUCUUUGAUCAUUUUCCUUUUGUCUUUAUUUUCUUUGGCUGCACAAUCCCCGUGUGAAAUCCCUCGUGGAUGGGCAAGUUCAAAGAGAUUUUGCUCAUGGAAAGCUCUUAAAUCAAUACACGAAUUAACAAACUGCACUGUAAAAGGAUGAUUGAUGGUACCGGUCAUGUGGAUUCAGGAGAAACGGAGUCCAUUGCACAACUGAGUUCAAAUGGAUCAGCAUUGUUCAAAAAGAAUCUUAUUUGAGGCCUUUUGUUGUUUUGAGAAGAAAAAGACAGAAAAGACAAAAAAAAUAAAAAAAAAACAUAUAUAUAUAUAUAUAUCAAACUUUGCCAUCAGAUUGGUUUUGGGACCUAUGCUGCCAUAUCUCAUUGUCCAUAAGUCAUGGUUGUUUUUUCCUGUAAUGCUCUUCUCCGUUUCUCUCUUUCAAGGGUUACUGUAAUCUUUGACAUAUCUCUGACUUCCAUCAUCUCGGUUCCUGUCUACGGGAGGUUUCUUCCACACUGUUUAAUGCGACUCCAUCCACUAAAAACAUUGUGCCAACGGUAGAAUAUGUCACGCUGCUUUACACCAGUCAGGUUGUUUUGUUAAUGUGAGGGGGGAAUUCUGCCUUAAACCCAGCUUGUUCUCUCAGACAGUACUACCUGUGAACAGUGGUCGGACACGCUGUAUUCUGGGGAAUGCCAAAUGCUCUUUACAAACAAACACGUUGCCAGAGUCAGUCAAGCCUCAAGUCCAUUUUGACGCAAAUAAAGGAUGUGGUCAUCCACCUCCAUUUUCCAUUGGUUACAAGGACCAAAAUGUAAACAAACUCAGCUGACUGAGCAGUUUGCUUCAAUCAAGCGUUCAAUGAUAGCCUUUAAAGCGCUCACAUCAAGUGAUUUUGCAUCACGGAUCUUUGUGUAUAAGAUAAAUCACCACAUUCCCAGCUUCACUGCUUAAUUUCGUUGUCUUCAUUUAUUUUCAUGCAAAGUUGAUUUAUCAUGAUAAAUGUUAUGUUUAAAUUCAAAAUGGAUGAAAUAAUCUUUUUGUUUGUUUGUUUUUUUAAUUUAUUUUGAACAAACUGAGUUACGGUUGUCUUACUUUCUUUGAAACGGAUGUAAUUUGAAUUAGCGUUGGCUCGGGUCCGUUUCCCUGAUUCGGGACGAUAUCUCCCAUAGUGCUCCUGAACUCUGUAGUUCUCUAGUUCAUUAUAUUCUGCUUAGACUAAAAUAAAGCACAGUCCUGUAGAAGA